rnacentral:rRNA from 1 species
UACGUAGGGCGCAAGCGUUAUCCGGAAUUAUUGGGCGUAAAGAGCUCGUAGGCGGUUUGUCGCGUCUGCCGUGAAAGUCCGGGGCUCAACUCCGGAUCUGCGGUGGGUACGGGCAGACUAGAGUGUUGCAGGGGAGACUGGAAUUCCUGGUGUAGCGGUGAAAUGCGCAGAUAUCAGGAGGAACACCGGUGGCGAAGGCGGGAUCUCUGG